UACGGGGGGUGCGAGCGUUGUCCGGAAUCACUGGGCGUAAAGGGCGCGUAGGUGGCGUCGUAAGUCUGUGGUGAAAGCCCGGAGCUCAACUCCGGGUCUGCCGCGGAUACUGCGAGGCUUGAGUGCUGUAGAGGGAGGUAGAAUUCCACGUGUAGCAGUGAAAUGCGUAGAGAUGUGGAGGAAUACCGAUGGCGAAGGCAGCCCCCUGGGCCAAUACUGACGCUCAUGCACGAAAGCGUGGGGAGCAAACAGG
rnacentral:rRNA from 1 species